UACGUAGGGUCCGAGCGUUGUCCGGAAUUACUGGGCGUAAAGCGCGCGCAGGCGGCCCGCGAGGUGUCACGUGAAAGCCCCGGGCUCAACCCGGGAGGGUCGUGGCAAACCGGCGGCUUGAGGCCGGUAGAGGUGGGUGGAACUCCUGGUGGAGUGGUGAAAUGCGUAGAGAUCAGGAAGAACACCAGUGGCGAAGGCGGCCAACUGGUC
rnacentral:rRNA from 1 species